AAAUGCGAUAAGUAGUGUGCAUUGCAGAAUUCAGUGAAUCAUCGAAUCUUUGAACGCACAUUGCGCCCGCCAGUAUUCUGGCGGGCAUGCCUGUUCGAGCGUCAUUUCAACCCUCAAGCCCUGCUUGGUGUUGGGGAUCGGCGUUGCCUCCUCCGUCGUUCGCGGCGGGGUGAGGUCGCCGCCCCCGAAAUGAAUUGGCGGUCUCGUCGCAGCUUUCCUUUGCGUAGUAACAUACCACCUCGCAACCAGGAGCGCGGCGCGGCCACUGCCGUAAAACGCCCAACUUUUUCAAGAGUUGACCUCGAAUCAGGUAGGAAUACCCGCUGAACUUAAGC
rnacentral:misc_RNA from 1 species